UAUUUUAAAGAAUGGCUGUACAUCUGCAGCAAGGAGCUGUUUUCAAAACUUAAUACAGUAAUAUAUCAAAAAUACAGUAACAUACUGUAAACUAGUUAAGAUACAGUAACAUACUGUACAAGCAAGGCAUUCUGGGAUUGGUUUGAACGAGGAAGUAUGAGCGGUGCAAGCUGAGCAGAGGUUUUGGUUCAGAAAACCACAUUAGAACUUUUAGAACUUCUCUUACGUCCUGUUAAUUAUGUUAUAGGUUAUAAUUAUUUAUCUUUUUAUCACUCUGCCUAUUCAGUUCAUUUAUUUUUAAUAUUAUUCGUUUUGCACUUUCCAUUGUUGAGUGAGACCGGGAACAACGUGUGAGGCGGGAGAAUUGAAAGUUCCAGAAACAAUUCAUUACCGUUUUGACUUGAAUGAUGUCUGAGUUACAAAAAGAGAUUAAGCAAACCUUACUGUGAGUAAUGCCAAGCCUUCCUGACGAGCCACUCAAUCAGUCAGUUGAGAAAUGUGUAGGCUGAGGAGUAGAAGAUUUAAUGUACGUGAAAGAAGAGGACAUCUUAAGAGUGUUCAGCGCCUGGAAAGAUCAUGAACAAAGAAGCAGCAUUUUGGUUCAGUAAUUAGUUUGACCGAGGUCUCCUCAAAAUUCACCACAAAUGAGCUCCUCAGGCUCCUCAAUAAGAAAAUGGAUGGACUCACGCUUCAAGCAGAUGCAUUUGCCACUUCAGCAGAUGUCCAAGGAACACUCAACUUGCCUGACAGUCCUUGAAUUAUAAUUCUUGGUCAAAUUCUAAGCAACCAGAAGGUCACGUUGUAUGUGAGGGAACACAACUCAGCUUUGUCUGUGGCCGUACUGCUGUGUUUGCUUCAUGGGUGGACACUUUUUCUUUGGUGUCGUUUCUUGUGACUGAAGACAGAGAAAGCAAAAUUAAAAUGAUAUAUUGACAUCAACCCUGAACACAUGUCCAAGGCCAAUCAAGGAAAAGCUACAUCCAAGAAGACUAGCCAAGUAGUCCAUAACAAGAAGAACGCAGUAAACCCUCAUUUUUUCUAUCCACUUUGUAAGAUAAUGGACUUUGAACACUUUGUUCACUUUUAAUUUUGACAGUUUAGGCAAUUUUUGUCUAACAUGGCGUCCUUAUUCUAUUUUAAUGUGAAGGUCAACAUUGGUGUUAUACUUUUAAAUUUAGUAUUGAAUGCUGCACUAUGUUUAUUGCCAGUGUUUCCCACCAUCUGUGUUUAUCUGAAAUAAUGAAAGACUGCUAACAAUUAAAAAAACUGCUAAUGUAAAAAGCCAAUCAAGACCAUCAAAAUAAAUGUUUAUUGGAAUGUUUCAAA